GGGAAGGUCCGGGGCGUUAUCCGGAUUUAUUGGGUUUAAGGGAGCGUAGGCCGGAGAUUAAGCGUGUUGUGAAAUGUAGACGCUCAACGUCUGCACUGCAGCGCGAACUGGUUUCCUUGAGUACGCACAAAGUGGGCGGAAUUCGUGGUGUAGCGGUGAAAUGCUUAGAUAUCACGAAGAACUCCGAUUGCGAAGGCAGCUCACUGGAGCGCAACUGACGCUGAAGCUCGAAAGUGCGGGUAUCGAACAGGAUUAGAUACCCUGGUAGUCCGCACGGUAAACGAUGGAUGCCCGCUGUUGGUCUGAACAGGUCAGCGGCCAAGCGAAAGCAUUAAGCAUCCCACCUGGGGAGUACGCCGGCAACGGUGAAACUCAAAGGAAUUGACGGGGGCCCGCACAAGCGGAGGAACAUGUGGUUUAAUUCGAUGAUACGCGAGGAACCUUACCCGGGCUUGAAUUGCAGAGGAAGGAUUUGGAGACAAUGACGCCCUUCGGGGCCUCUGUGAAGGUGCUGCAUGGUUGUCGUCAGCUCGUGCCGUGAGGUGUCGGCUUAAGUGCCAUAACGAGCGCAACCCCUCUCCUUAGUUGCCAUCAGGUUAAGCUGGGCACUCUGGGGACACUGCCACCGUAAGGUGUGAGGAAGGUGGGGAUGACGUCAAAUCAGCACGGCCCUUACGUCCGGGGCUACACACGUGUUACAAUGGCAGGUACAGAGAGACGGUCCAAUGCAAAUUGGAUCAAAUCCUUAAAGCCUGUCUCAGUUCGGACUGGGGUCUGCAACCCGACCCCACGAAGCUGGAUUCGCUAGUAAUCGCGCAUCAGCCAUGGCGCGGUGAAUACGUUCCCGGGCCUUGCACACACCGCCCGU
rnacentral:rRNA from 1 species